GUGUCUGUAGCUCAGUUGGUUAGAGCAUCCGCCUGUUAAGCGGAGGGUCAUAGGUUCAAGUCCUAUCAGAUACGCCA
rnacentral:tRNA from 1 species